UAUGAUUCACAGCAACAUGGAUGGACCUAGAGAUUGUCAUACUAAGUGAAAUGGGCCAAGUGAGGAGCAGGAAGGGCGAGGACAUGUCUGUGCAGCCUCCAGCAUCCCUCUCCUCUGUGAACGGGACCCCUACGAGGAGGCCCUCGGACCGGCCAUUCCAGACGCUGGCCCAUUUGGUGACCAGACCCCGCGCCCGUCCCUCUGUGGAGCUGACAGCGGGCAGACUGGCAGAUCUACGCGGAGGCUCAGGGCUGCAGACAAUGGAGGAUUUCAUCCCGUGAGAGGGUUCGAAGCCAAGCCGGGAAUUAAAGGACAAUUCUUUACUCAACUCACACUCUUACCCAACCAACCAGUGAGAUGGCGUGAUGUCUGGAGACCUCGAACGCUUCCUCGUCUGUCCAUCUCAGGUGUGAUGGAGCUGGUGGAGGCCACAGGCUUAGGUUGUAAACUUCACAUGUUAUUCGUGACACUUUCCUGGUUCCAUUAGCAGCUCCAAGGCCAUAUUUACACUUAUGUUAAAAUGACUUUUAUAUCUCUCUUUUCCUGGGGGUGGGGUGGGGGAGGUGCUUAUGAAUCAGCCAAGAUAGAGUGGUUUUAAUGUCCAGACACAAGUUAUCAUUUGAGGUGAAGCUUCCACUGUAACUGCACGAAGUCCUGCUGAAGGAAAUAAUCAGAGCUGACAGGAAACAGCCUUUCUCUCCAAGGGAAACAGAGACUUUGGUUUGCCGUGGGGCUUGGGGAAAGGCGGAGCUUCCCCACCCAAAGAAACAGUUCCCUGCUGACUGCAAGUUUCUGUCCUGUUGAUUGUUCUGUUUGGAAGUCUGGGAAGACAGACGAAAGUUGCAGAAAUUCCCCCAGAUUGUUGGUUCCAGGGUCUGCUGAGGGGACUCUGUCAGCAUUGACUGCAAACCCCACCUGGUCCUGCUGGGAGGAAGACCUGCCCAAGGAUGGGUUAAGACCCACCUCCGGGGGGGCUGUGCUCACUGGCUUUGAUCCAAGAGCUGCUGACCUCUCCCCUUGCCAAGGUCCCCUUCCCCUGCCUAUAAGACCAAAAUUCCCUCUCAAUCACCUUCUCCCUCGUGCUGCCCCAGAUGGGGAGCCAAGUGGGAGCUGACGGAGAAGGAUGGGAGAAGCAUGGUCCACAGACCAGGAGCCUCUCUCUGCAGGCUACGAAGCAUCCUGCCUUCUCUUUCUUUGGAAAGCUCCCAUUUCAUGGAGUGGAGGGCCCGAGAUUGCUCUGGAUGCUGCCAUGACCUCAAGGCCAGAGUCUGGGGAGUGCAGGACCCCUAGUCCAAUCAGAAGAGGGGAUCUGAAGUGGGUGUGAACGCUGGGAGGGCCUCCAGGACCGGACGAGGGGUGAGGGCGGGGCCGUGUGUCCAGACCACAGGGAGGCCGGGACCUUCUUACCACAGCCCCGAGCUUGCACCUGACUCGUGGUGAGCACGCGUUGGGGCCCAAGAAUAAACUGGACAAAUGGCAGCAGGAAGGGACCGGCGAGGGGCUGCUGACUGCAUCCGUAAUUGGCACCAGAGCGGCUCGGAACUUCCCGGUAAGGAAAGGGAAAAAGAAAGGAAAACAGAAUGGUAUGCAGCCUCAUUGUCUAACAGAAGAAAACACACCAACUCUUAAGGGAACUUUUUUUUCCCCCUGGCAACAAAUUCUUGGAAGAAUUUAUGUGACAAAACACCCCAGGGGAAUAUCCUGUGGUCAAGAAGGAGGCCACUUUCUAACUCAAGUCUGAGGGGCUUUGGAAAUUCCAGUCUUGCACACGGGAGGAGGGUCAGCCAGGCCACCAUUAUGGUCCAGUGGGCUCCCGCGAAGGAGGUGCUGUGGGCUCCGGGAGGGAUCAGAGGAUGUCCCUCAGAAUAAGGCAAGGAGCUGAGGUUCCCCCAACCCGGGGACUAGAGGUGAAGGCCAAGGGCUAUGACAGAGACCGAGUACCUCAGUUACAUCCUGUCUAUCCUUUGGGACAACAGUUCGGGGGGAGCCAGGAGGGCGGGAGCUUGCUCCCUGGCCGGGGCUGGCUGAAGCAGGCCAAUUGCAAAGGUCAGAAUCAGUGGUCAGCGAUUCACCAAAGCCAGGAAAGCAGCCCUGGGCCUCUGGGAGAAAGGAGCCCCGGGGAGCUCCUGAGUUAUGAGGAUGCAGCUCCUGGGCCUUUUCAGGCUCUGGGUUCAGGGCAGGUCGAGGCUGAAUAAGUCAUGCACGCAGGAAGGAAAGAAAGAGGGAGAGGAGAGGCUAUGGAAGGAGAGGCAGAAAGAAACAGGAAGCUGGGAGGAUGGAGGGCAGGACAGAGGGCCCACGGGACACUGGGUCAGCAGCAGAGGCCAGGCCGAGGCUGUGAUGGGCUGUCCUGCUGCCUCUGCUGUCUGGCUUACCAUGAUUGUAUCAGGGCCUCAGGGAAAACAACCUUACCAGCAAGGGCAGGGUGGGGGGCGUGGGAAGUUGUCCAAAUGGGAGGCCUGGGCCGUUGGCUGCUAGGGAGGUUGGAGGUUAAGAUGCUGUGUUGGCAGAGUGAGGGGAGACCAGAGCAUCGGGGGCAGUGCUGAAUUUAGGGGUCCAGGCAGGGUUUUCCUGGGGAGGUAGACCUGGGUGGAGGGCGACUGUAGAAGCCAUGGAUGAUCUGGCCCACGGUCUCCUCAUCCCUUAAACCAACCCCCCCCCACCACACACACACACAUGGGAUAAAGUCACACUAGUUUUCGGGGAGAAGGGAAGAGAAAUACUAGCAGACUGAAGGGUUAAAUAAGUGACUGGGUGACAGAAGGUGUGAGAGUUUAUCUGUCUGCAGAAUCAGAGAGGAGGGGGCCAUGGCCUGGCCUUGCCUGAGGGCUGCAGUGAGACUCCCAGGCCACCUGGCUGGGAGGGCUGAGGACAGAGGGAUGGAGACGGGUCUGCCUGGACUCUCUGUGGUCCAACUUCUCCACCCACUGGCACAUCUCAGCUCCCCAAGGACUCAAGAAGACUCAGCAUGGCUGCAGAGUCCCCACCCCUUGAAAACAGCAAAGUGCUUCUGGGGACAGAGAAACAUCUUAAGAGAUGCUCAAUUUGACCCCUUUGAGAUUUCAGGAAGAGGUUCCAUCCAAAAACCAAACAACCAAAACCAUCCACCAAACUGCAGAUGCCAGCAUCCUUGUAGACAGGGAGAAAAUAGAUACCUUGACCACAUUGUGAGUGAGCUAUGAAAUCUCUCACCUUGGGCCUUCCCUGUCCUCCUGGACCCAGCCCCCACCCAGCCCAUCUGUAACCGAAUUUAGAGCAAACAAAUUUGGAAGUAGAUUUGAUUGUCUAAAUAUAUGAACCACUAUUUAUUACUUUAGCAGGCGUGAGACAUGAAUUCUUCUCCAUUUUAAUUUUUAAAGUUGUAUAGAAAAUUGCAAGUUUUCAUCAGAAAAAGAUAAUGCUCACGAUCUACUAGAAAUCACGUUUUAUAGAAACUUCCGAGUUUUCCCCAGACAAAAGGCCUCAGGUUUGGGGUUCGCCAUGGGUGUCAACAAGCUGAGCCUUGUCCUUGAAGCAGCCGUGACUCAGCUGAUUCAAAAUAAACUUGAGUGUGAAUUCUUCUCUCCGGAGAUGGAGCAUACAUCCUUGGCACACGCCCUGUGACCACUGCGUCACCUCCGUAACAUCUGCUCAGGGAUGUCGCAAUUGUCCUGACUCACGGGGGAACCACAGGCUGCAAAUGGCCAAGCUGCUCACACACGGCGGGGUGGGCUGCACGUCACCUGCAGUGUGAGUCAGCAGCCAACAGACGCCCUCCAAAAGGAGCAGAAAAAACAAGAGAGCGGCUCGUCCUUGAGAAGGCACCAGGCCACGGUGGUUUGGGGGUUUCGGUGGUAUGCUGCUGAUCAGGAGCGUGACUUGUCAUCCUCGCCAACCAAGUUGGUCAAAAUAGUAACAGUUGUUUCUUUGGGCAGGCAGAGGUCAAGGCUGGGCCAGAAAGGCUGCAUGUGCUUGAGCCCUGGGCCAGGCACCUGCACCGUCCGGGCACCUCCUCUGCCUUCCAGGCCGGUCCUCGGUUGCACCACACUUGGGUCUUCUCUGGCCCCUGCAGUUCCUCCUGCCACGUGCGCAGGGUCCCUUGUGACCCAGCAAAAAGGGAAGUCUCAGCCAGGAAACAAACUGAGGGUUUUGUGCCCACUGUCAGGUCUUCCCGUGACCCUGCUCUGCCGACAGCCCUGCCACCAGCUCUGGAAACAGCACACGGUGCCUGUGGGCUGGGCCUCCAUCACCCCAGGCCCUUCGGAAAGCAGAGCUGAGAGGAGCAAGGGUUUGAGCUUUUGCGUUUGGGAGAUCAGGGCGACCCCGGUUCCGGAGAACUCUGUCCGCGUGUCGUCAAGACUGUAGUUAGGGGAGAACAUUUGGCACCGUUUAUCUUUCAAAUACACACAUGGAGGAAGGUGUCAGCAUGAUAGCCUUGUGACCAACAGAACAGCCCAGUUCUGCAGAGUCCCCUGAGAACGAGAGAGCCUUCACCUUUGGGAGCCGGGUCCCCCACUCAGAGCAUCUGCUAUGGGCCCAAAAGCUUUUCCCAGGAGGCGCUGGUCUGGAGGGAGAGCCCAGAAAGGGGGAGGCUGAUGCUCUCAGGAACCCCUGGAAGAGGCUCCAGGGCUCAGGGACAGGUAAUUGUCAUCAAGGCUGGAGUUCAGGCGAGGCCCGUCAGAAGAAAGCCUUGGUACUGUGCUUUGAAAGCUGACCCCAGAGCUCUCCAAUUCGAAUUCUUUUUCUUUUCUCCAAUUCUGGGCUUCUCCACCUGGUCCUUCCACAGCGUACAGCCUCAGCAGGCCCCCUGACAGCUGAAGCCCGGCUCCCGGGCCUGCCCGGGUCUGCUCGCCCUUCACCAUCUCCGCCUCUCACGCCCCAGGCACCAGCCUCGUGUCUCCUCGCCAUGAGGAUCUGACGUCCAAAAGCCCCCAGUGCCCCAGUGCUGGGUUAUUAGGGUCAUAACCUCUGACCAUUUCCCCCAAAACGCACACAAAUAAAAACAACAAAUACACAAUUUUAGGAUGUUGAAGUUUCCUCGAAUCUAGAUUAGGUGCCUCUGGAUGCAUGAAACUCUGGCCCAUAGACAUCAAAUAACUCCCCAUGCCCACACUGCGCUCUCUGGUAACAAGUACAAAGCGAGCCCUCUGACCAGGCUCUCAUUGGAAAGGAUCUUUCUUGAGCUUGACCUCCUCUUUUGAGAAUCUAAUGAAAGCCAUGGAUUUUUCCCCCCAUGAAAUGCACGUAAUCCUAAUAUGGCUGCAAUUUAGCGUUUGUUUUGGGAAGUUUCACACUCUUCCUGAAGUCAGUUCAUGAAAAUCCAACUCUGCUUUCUGAUGACAUUCAAUUAAUUCUGAGUCCAAGCACACCCUCUCCCCUGAUGCCCCAAUUAGGAUGAUUCCUCCUCCAUGGGGGUCUCCCCUGAACCCCCAACUGGAAAUCCUCUUCCCUUCCUUGGGUUUCCACACUCAUGCUCUGGCUCUCCGCCCUGUGACACCCCAGGGGUCAAGGCUGUGGGGGUCCCUGUAUCUCUUGCCAUGGACUUAUGGUCAACAUGUCAUUUUUUAAUUUAUUCAAUUUUUGAAGAGGGCUCAUGGAAUAAGGGACCGUGGCUGUCUUCUUCAAUGCACUGGACAUGUGAGUCUCUCCCGCCCAAAUGUUAAAGCAUAUUGAGCAGAAGAGACAACUUGGUUGGAUCUAAGUUUGCUUAUUGGAUCAGAAAUAUAACAGAACCAGGAGAAGGGCAACUGAUCAAAGUCUGGAUGAGGAGACGUCAAAAAGAGUGAGAAUUUUUAAUCCAUGAAGAUGGUGGCCAAGAGAGCAUGUAUGUAAUAUCAAGGAAAUCAUAAAGACUCUCACUAACACAUCCUGGGAUGUACUUACCAAAAUUGAAACUCCUCAAAUUAAGGGGACCUGCAAAAAUAGAAAGAGACAGCAUCGUCUAUUGGCUCCAGCACUAAUUCGUGUAGUGGGUAAGGGAAACAUACGGCUCUCAUUAAUCUGAGAGGUUAUAGACACAAAUAUAGACAAAGAAAGGUUUAGAGAUUGCUGAAAGAAAUGAAAGAAGACCCAAAUAAAUGGGAAGACAUCCCGUGUUCACAGGUAGCCAGACUUAAUAUUGUCAAGAUGUCAGUGUGACCCAAAGCAAGCUACAGAUUCAAUGCAAUCCUUAUCCAAGUUUCAACAACCUUUUUCACAGAAAGGAAAAAGCCUAUUUUCAAAUUCACAUGGAAUCUCAAGGGGCCCGAAAUGUCCAAAACAAUCUUGAAAAAGAAAAAGACAGUCAGAGAAUGUACACUUCCUGAUUUUAAAACUUACUACAAAGCUAUAGUAAUCCAAAGAGUGUGACACUAGCAUAAGAACAGAUACACAGAUCAGAGGAACAGAAUAGGGAGUUCAGAAAUAAACCCACACAUCCAUGGCCAACUGAAUGUUUGACCAGAGUGUCAAGUCCAUUCAGUGGGAAAGAACAAUCUCUUUAACAAAUGGUGCCAGGACAACUGGAUUUCCACAAGUACAGGAAAGAAGUUGAACCUUUAUCUCAUAUCACAUACAAAAAUUAGCUCAAAUUCAAUCAAUGACUUUAAUAUACAAACUAAAACCAUAAAACUCUUAGAAGUAAACAUAGAAUUGAAUCUUCAUGAUGCCAUACUUGGCAGUAGAUUCUUAGAUUUGACACCAAAGGCAUAAGUAACAAAAGAAAAAAAUAGUUCAACGAGACUUCAUUAAAAGUAAAGACUUUUAUGCACCAAAGGACAUUAUAAGGAAAGUAAAAAGACAAUUUACAGAACGGGAGAAAAUAUUUGAAAAUCAUAUAACUGGUAAAGACUUGAUAGCCAGAGUAUAUAAACUACUCCUACAGCUCGACAACAAAAGACAAUUUAAAAAUGUGGAAAGGACUUGAAUAGACAUUUCUCCAAAGAAGGUACACAGCUGGCCAAUAAGCAUAUGAAAAGACAUUAACAUCAUUAGUUAUCAGAAGAAUGCAAUCAAAAACAAUGCAAAUCAAAACCACAAUGACACACUACUUCAGACCCACUAGGAUGGUAAUAACAAUAAAAUACUACUAAAAAUGGGGAAGAUGUGGUGUAAUUAAAACUCUUGUGUGUUGCUGAUGGGAAUGUAAAAUGAUACAGCUGCUCCGGGAAACUGGUGUUUCCUCACAAAUCUAAAGAUAGAAUUACCAUAUGACUCAGCAUUUCCACUCCUAGGUAUAUAACCCAGAGAAUUAAAAACAGGGGCUUACACAGGUACUUGUAGGUCCACGGUCAUUGCGGCAUUAUUGACAAUAGCUAAAAGGCAGAAACAAUCCAAAUGUCCAUCAACGAAUGACCAGAUAAAUCAUAUAUGCUGUAUACUUACAAUGGAGUAUUAUUCAGCCUUAAAAAAGAUGAAGUGCUGAUACAUACUGCAACGCGAAUGAACCUUUAAAACACUGUGUUAAUUAAAGAGAGCCAGACACAAAGGGACAAAUAUUAUAUGAUUCCACUUAGAAGAGCUACCUAGAACAGGAAAAUUCAUAGUGAGAGAAAGUGCAUUGGUGGUUACCAGGGGCUUGGGGAAGGGAGACUGGGGAGUUAUGGGUUAAUGGGCACAGAAUUUCUGUUUGGGUGGAUGAAAAAGUUUUGCAAAUAGAUAGUGGUGACGGUUCCGUAACACUGUGGAUGUACUUAACGUCACUGAGUUGUAUACUUUUUUAUAAAGAAGUGUUUCGAGAAA